GUUCGCCGCGGUUCAUUGCUGUGCUUACGCACUAGGCUACCCUUCUCCGAAAGCUCCGCGGGACCACCUAUCACUAGUCUUUGGCCGAAGGGGUUUAUUGCACAAAAAGGCCGGGACGCGGGCUCCCGCAGAGGAAAGCCCAACGAAUGUCAGAGGCAAAGCCCCGCACCUCAUUAAGAUCAUAUUGGCAUACUCUCCUAAA
rnacentral:lncRNA from 1 species